rnacentral:lncRNA from 1 species
GUUUUAGUGUAAAAAAGUAAAAAUUACAUUAUGAAAAUGUUUACAGCUACAAACUAUCCUUCAAAAAAAUAAUAACAUUAACAACCUGAAAUUUCUCAAGAAAAAUAAGGGAAAUUUUACCAGUAUUCUGCCUGUUUAUCAUUUACACAUGUACAUUAUAAUUUACAGACCACAGUGGAUCUACAAAUACAACAAACAUUUAAUAACAGGCUGAAUAUUGUACCUUUAGUACCUUUUACACACUUUAACACUUAAAUUCAUGUUAUCUACUUUUAUAUUUUGUAUUUUUUCCACAUUAUAUCUCUAUUUUAAAUUACUUCAUUUAUUUUCCAAUUUUGCACAUAUUUUAUUGCACCACCAUCUGUCCUAUUUUCUAAUAUAUGUUUAUAUUUUACUGUGUUUUAACUGUAUGUGUGUGUACUGUCACUGGCAGAGACCAACGGCAUUACUCUGUUCUAUUCUGUUCUAUUUUGUUCUAUUCUGUUUCAUUCUAUUUGUUCUGUUCUAUUCUAUUCUGUUCCAUUCUAUUUAUUCUAAUCUAUUUUAUUCCAUUUGUUCUGUUCUGUUUCUUGUAUUCUAUUCUAUUCGUUCUGUUCUUCUCUAUUCUAUUCUGUUCUAUUCUAUUUAUUCUAAUCUAUUUUAUUCCAUUUGUUCUGUUCUGUUUCUUGAAUUCUAUUCUAUUCGUUCUGUUCUAUUCUGUUCUCAUCAGUUCUAUUCUUCUGUUCUGCUCUAUUCUAUUCUGUUCUACUCUAUUCUAUUCUACUCUAUUCUAUUCUGUUCUACUCUAUUCCAUUCUAUUUCUUCUAUUCUAUUCUAUUCUGUUCUACUCUGUUCUGUUCUAUCCUAUUCUAUUCUACUCUAUUCUAUUUCUUCUAUUCUAUUCUAUUCUGUUCUACUCUAUUCUAUUCUACUAUUUUCUAUUCUACUCUUUUCUAUUCUGUUCUAUUCUACUCUAUUCUAUUUCUUCUAUUCUAUUCUAUUUCUUCUAUUCUAUUCUAUUCUAUUCUACUCUAUUCUAUUCUAUUCUAUUCCGUUCUGUUCUAAAUCUGAUGAGUUUAACUGCUCUGCCUUUGUUUCUCUGCGCCUCUUAAACAGCUUUUACAACCGCUGUAUUGUCAACAUUAAUGGAGUUGUGUUUGUUUUCCCUGUGAAUGAAGUAUUGGCGGUGUCCGUUGCCGUAGAAACGGCUGGCUUGUAAUAGUCUCUAAUCAGAUUGCAGAGUGUCUUCCUCCGUAAACAGGCCUGUUCCUUCCUCCUAUAAUCUUGCAUCAAACAUCCUACAGAGAUGGACACAGAAGAGCCAGGGCUGAACCAGGGUUUGGCUCAACGUCAACCAUCAUUUACUGCUUUAACUGGAACACAAUCAACACUAAUGUUACUUUUAUCUACCAGAUACUGAGGGGAACUUUAC